rnacentral:rRNA from 1 species
AGAGUUUGAUCCUGGCUCAGGAUGAACGCUGGCGGCGUGCCUAAUACAUGCAAGUCGAGCGAACGGACGAGAAGCUUGCUUCUCUGAUGUUAGCGGCGGACGGGUGAGUAACACGUGGAUAACCUACCUAUAAGACUGGGAUAACUUCGGGAAACCGGAGCUAAUACCGGAUAAUAUUUUGAACCGCAUGGUUCAAAAGUGAAAGACGGUCUUGCUGUCACUUAUAGAUGGAUCCGCGCUGCAUUAGCUAGUUGGUAAGGUAACGGCUUACCAAGGCAACGAUGCAUAGCCGACCUGAGAGGGUGAUCGGCCACACUGGAACUGAGACACGGUCCAGACUCCUACGGGAGGCAGCAGUAGGGAAUCUUCCGCAAUGGGCGAAAGCCUGACGGAGCAACGCCGCGUGAGUGAUGAAGGUCUUCGGAUCGUAAAACUCUGUUAUUAGGGAAGAACAUAUGUGUAAGUAACUGUGCACAUCUUGACGGUACCUAAUCAGAAAGCCACGGCUAACUACGUGCCAGCAGCCGCGGUAAUACGUAGGUGGCAAGCGUUAUCCGGAAUUAUUGGGCGUAAAGCGCGCGUAGGCGGUUUUUUAAGUCUGAUGUGAAAGCCCACGGCUCAACCGUGGAGGGUCAUUGGAAACUGGAAAACUUGAGUGCAGAAGAGGAAAGUGGAAUUCCAUGUGUAGCGGUGAAAUGCGCAGAGAUAUGGAGGAACACCAGUGGCGAAGGCGACUUUCUGGUCUGUAACUGACGCUGAUGUGCGAAAGCGUGGGGAUCAAACAGGAUUAGAUACCCUGGUAGUCCACGCCGUAAACGAUGAGUGCUAAGUGUUAGGGGGUUUCCGCCCCUUAGUGCUGCAGCUAACGCAUUAAGCACUCCGCCUGGGGAGUACGACCGCAAGGUUGAAACUCAAAGGAAUUGACGGGGACCCGCACAAGCGGUGGAGCAUGUGGUUUAAUUCGAAGCAACGCGAAGAACCUUACCAAAUCUUGACAUCCUUUGACAACUCUAGAGAUAGAGCUUUCCCCUUCGGGGGACAAAGUGACAGGUGGUGCAUGGUUGUCGUCAGCUCGUGUCGUGAGAUGUUGGGUUAAGUCCCGCAACGAGCGCAACCCUUAAGCUUAGUUGCCAUCAUUAAGUUGGGCACUCUAAGUUGACUGCCGGUGACAAACCGGAGGAAGGUGGGGAUGACGUCAAAUCAUCAUGCCCCUUAUGAUUUGGGCUACACACGUGCUACAAUGGACAAUACAAAGGGCAGCGAAACCGUGAGGUCAAGCAAAUCCCAUAAAGUUGUUCUCAGUUCGGAUUGUAGUCUGCAACUCGACUACAUGAA